AUUGAACGCUGGCGGCAGGCCUAACACAUGCAAGUCGAGCGGAUGAAGGGAGCUUGCUCCUGGAUUCAGCGGCGGACGGGUGAGAAAUGCCUAGGAAUCUGCCUGGUAGUGGGGGAUAACGUCCGGAAACGGGCGCUAAUACCGCAUACGUCCUGAGGGAGAAAGUGGGGGAUCUUCGGACCUCACGCUAUCAGAUGAGCCUAGGUCGGAUUAGCUAGUUGGUGGGGUAAAGGCCUACCAAGGCGACGAUCCGUAACUGGUCUGAGAGGAUGAUCAGUCACACUGGAACUGAGACACGGUCCAGACUCCUACGGGAGGCAGCAGUGGGGAAUAUUGGACAAUGGGCGAAAGCCUGAUCCAGCCAUGCCGCGUGUGUGAAGAAGGUCUUCGGAUUGUAAAGCACUUUAAGUUGGGAGGAAGGGCAGUAAGUUAAUACCUUGCUGUUUUGACGUUACCAACAGAAUAAGCACCGGCUAACUUCGUG
rnacentral:rRNA from 1 species